AAUAGAUACCCUGGUAGUCCACGCCCUAAACGAUGUCAACUAGNUUGUUGGGAUUCAUUUCCUUAGUAACGUAGCUAACGCGUGAAGUUGACCGCCUGGGGAGUACGGUCGCAAGAUUAAAACUCAAAGGAAUUGACGGGGACCCGCACAAGCGGUGGAUGAUGUGGAUUAAUUCGAUGCAACGCGAAAAACCUUACCUACCCUUGACAUGGUCGGAACCCUGCUGAAAGGUGGGGUGCUCGAAAGAGAACCGGCGCACAGGUGCUGCAUGGCUGUCGUCAGCUCGUGUCGUGAGAUGUUGGGUUAAGUCCCGCAACGAGCGCAACCCUUGUCCUUAGUUGCUACGCAAGAGCACUCUAAGGAGACUGCCGGUGACAAACCGGAGGAAGUGGGGAUGACGUCAAGUCCUCAUGGCCCUUAUGGGUAGGGCUUCACACGUCAUACAAUGGUCGGAACAGAGGGUUGCCAAGCCGCGAGGUGGAGCCAAUCCCGAGAAAACCGAUCGUAGUCCGGAUCGCAGUCUGCAA
rnacentral:rRNA from 1 species